AUGUCACCUUCGUGGCCUAUUAUCUGCAAGGUCUCGCUGCUCAAUGGUGGGAUAACCACAAACGUCCCUUACCUGUUGGAACCGCCAUCAAUUGGCCGGAAUUUCAAGCUGCAUUCUGCGGGCCAAUGUCGAAUCACAAUUGUUAGUCACAACGUCCCGGUUGAAAUUGAAGGGUUGAAAUUCCAUCUUUUUCCCAUUGUUUUGAAGUCAUCCAAUAUCGACCUGAUUCUGGGAAUGGAAUGGUUGAAAACACAUACCACUUCUAUCAUUUGCGCCAGUAAAACCAGCCAUCUACUCCUUCCUUCGAGAGAGAUAGUAAGCUACAUGCUCACCUUGUUUGAAAUGCCGAAGCACGAAUUUAUUUCUUGA
rnacentral:rRNA from 1 species